UCAGAUUGAACGCUAGCGGCAGGCUUAAUACAUGCAAGUCGAGGGGCAGCACGGUUAGCAAUAACUGGUGGCGACCGGCGCACGGGUGCGUAACACGUAUACAAUCUACCUUAAACAGGGGGAUAGCCUUUCGAAAGAGAGAUUAAUACCCCGUAAUAAAUUGAACGGCAUCGUUUGAUUUUGAAAGCUCCGGCGGUUUGAGAUGAGUAUGCGUCUGAUUAGCUAGUUGGUGAGGUAACGGCUCACCCAAGGCGACGAUCAGUAGGGGACCUGACGAGGACUAACCCCCCACACUGGUACUGAGACACGGACCAGACUCCUACGGGAGGCAGCAGUAAGGAAUAUUGGUCAAUGGAGGCAACUCUGAACCAGCCAUGCCGCGUGCAGGAUGACGGCCCUAUGGGUUGUAAACUGCUUUUAUACAAGAGAAAACCCUGGUACGUGUACCAAGUUGAUAGUAUUGUAAGAAUAAGCAUCGGCUAACUUCGUG
rnacentral:rRNA from 1 species